rnacentral:rRNA from 1 species
GAUGAACGCUGGCGGCGUGCCUAAUACAUGCAAGUCGAGCGAACAGAUGAGGAGCUUGCUCCUCUGACGUUAGCGGCGGACGGGUGAGUAACACGUGGAUAACCUACCUAUAAGACUGGGAUAACUUCGGGAAACCGGAGCUAAUACCGGAUAAUAUAUUGAACCGCAUGGUUCAAUAGUGAAAGACGGUUUUGCUGUCACUUAUAGAUGGAUCCGCGCCGCAUUAGCUAGUUGGUAAGGUAACGGCUUACCAAGGCAACGAUGCGUAGCCGACCUGAGAGGGUGCUCGGCCACACUGGAACUGAGACACGGUCCAGACUCCUACGGCAGGCAGCAGUAGGGAAUCUUCCGCAAUGGGCGAAAGCCUGACGGAGCAACGCCGCGUGAGUGAUGAAGGUCUUCGGAUCGUAAAACUCUGUUAUUAGGGAAGAACAAAUGUGUAAGUAACUAUGCACGUCUUGACGGUACCUAAUCAGAAAGCCACGGCUAACUACGUG